GUAGUCCACGCCGUAAACGAUGAGCACUAGUUGUGGGAGGAGUAAACCCCUACCGUGACAAAGCUAACGCAUUAAGUGCUCCGCCUGGGGAGUACGGUCGCAAGACUAAAACUCAAAGGAAUUGACGGGGGCCCGCACAAGCGGUGGAUUAUGUGGUUUAAUUCGAAGCAACGCGCAAAACCUUACCUGGGUUUGAAAUCCUACGAAUCCUGCAGAGAUGUGGGAGUGCCCUUCGGGGAAUGUAGAGACAGGCGCUGCAUGGCUGUCGUCAGCUCGUGUUGUGAAAUGUUGGGUUAAGUCUCGCAACGAGCGCAACCCCUAUCCUUAGUUGCCAGCAUUAAGUUGGGCACUCUAGGGAGACUGCCUGGGUUAACCAGGA
rnacentral:rRNA from 1 species